UGUAGGCCCCUGUCACAUGCCAGUACACCGCUCCCAUCAGUUUGGUCCACACCAUCUGCACCUCUGCCGUGAAGAAUUCUGGGAAAUCUUCAGACAACACCUCCAGCAUCACGCCACUCAGGAUCUGGGAAGAAGGAGGACCCAGCCACUCCCUCCAGCCUGCCAAUGUUUUUGCACUGAGCUAAGCAUUACAGUGCUCUUGUUUCUUGCCUUCCUGAUCCUACCUGCCUGAUUUCCCGGACUUCAAUUCUACACCUGCCCUUUACCUGGUUAAGUUUGCAUUCUUUGUUUGCCUGCCUGGUUUUGAUCUCUGCCUGUUUCUGGAUUAAAGAUAUUGAACUUUGCUCUUAA